rnacentral:rRNA from 1 species
UNUGGCUUAACUGGGGGCUUGCGGUGGGUACGGGCCGGCUUGAGUGCGGUAGGGGAGGCUGGAACUCCUGGUGUAGCGGUGGAAUGCGCAGAUAUCAGGAAGAACACCGGUGGCGAAGGCGGGUCUCUGGGCCGUUACUGACGCUGAGGAGCGAAAGCGUGGGGAGCGAACAGGAUUAGAUACCCUGGUAGUCCACGCCGUAAACGUUGGGCACUAGGUGUGGGGGGCCUUUUCCGGGUUUUCCGCGCCGUAGCUAACGCAUUAAGUGCCCCGCCUGGGGAGUACGGCCGCAAGGCUAAAACUCAAAGGAAUUGACGGGGGCCCGCACAAGCGGCGGAGCAUGCGGAUUAAUUCGAUGCAACGCGAAGAACCUUACCAAGGCUUGACAUGUGCCGGUCGGCUCCGGAGACGGGGUUUCCUCCUUGUGGGGCCGGUUCACAGGUGGUGCAUGGUUGUCGUCAGCUCGUGUCGUGAGAUGUUGGGUUAAGUCCCGCAACGAGCGCAACCCUUGUCUCGUGUUGCCAGCACGUUGUGGUGGGGACUCGCGGGAGACUGCCGGGGUCAACUCGGAGGAAGGUGGGGAUGACGUCAAAUCAUUAUGCCCCUUAUGUCUUGGGCUUCACGCAUGCUACAAUGGCCGGUACAGAGGGCUGCGAUACUGUGAGGUGGAGCGAAUCCCUUAAAGCCGGUCUCAGUUCGGAUCGGUGUCUGCAACUCGACACCGUGAAGUUGGAGUCGCUAGUAAUCGCAGAUCAGCAACGCUGCGGUGAAUACGUUCUCGGGCCUUGUACACACCGCCCGUCACGUCAUGAAAGUCGGCAACACCCGAAGCCCGUGGCCUUAUGGGGAG